rnacentral:lncRNA from 1 species
UCUUGACAUGUAGUACGAACAUAAAGCACAGUUGAUUCCUGAGCUGUGAUGACUUUCCACUGACCAUACUACUGCAAUGAUGUUAUUCUGGGCCAAACUUCGGAAUCAAUCCUUCUCUGCUGCCUGAUUCAAUUAUUUAUCAUGCACCCCGUGGAUUUUUACUUGCUAAAGUAGAAAGAAGAUCCCAACAUUUGAUGAGAAAAUAUACAGAAGGGAGGCUGAUCCAGGGUGCACUGUGGCAGGUGGCAGUAUAGAUUUUUGUGAAGCAGCAGUGUGCUGUGAUAUGAGUAGCAGAUGAAGAAGGAAGGAAAUGAAGUCACUCAAUUCUUAUAUGGCAUAAUUACUCUUAUAUUUGGAAUCAACAUGUGGAAUUUCUAGAUGCUUUAUUGCAGAUAGAGAAUACUCUUCCAAAGUGCCUUAAUUACAUGA